UAAAAAAGGAGGUAACAAGUUUGUCAAAAAUAGUACUCCAGAAUUGAACGGUACUAGAUUUAUUACUAGCCUCACAAGGAGGAGCAUGCAAUUAAUGUGUGUAAUUAAUGCUGGCUGCUGUAUACAUGUAGAUCAAACGGGACAAAUUUGACUGAUCUCAAAAACGUUUGGGAAAAAAACAAACAAGAUCCUACAUAGAGCAGCUGAAGAUGACACUUCCUGGGGAUUUAGAAACAGUUGGGAGAAACUAACUUCUGAUUUGUGGAAGAACUCUACAACUCAAAGCAAAUGAGUUAUAAAGUAGGUUAUGUGGUUUAUGUCGGUGCUGAGCACAUGCGGGAUAGCUCCCAAAGGCAUGCGCACUCUAAUGCGGCAACUUACUUUGGUUAUAUGCAGUAAAGAGUUACAUAUGUAUGAAGUUUCCCAAUACACCUAUACACAUUCAUAACCUAUCCCAGCUUUGUAUUAAAAUUAACUCCAAUGAGUCAUUCCAUAAACUCCUCCCAUCUGCGCCUGCGCAGUGCCUUCUGGUGGUGGUCGUUGGGGGGUUGUGGGGAUGAAGUCAAUAACUCCUCUUCAUCACCACUAGUUGACCCCCUGCCUUUGUACAGACUCAGCUGCUCCUUGGUUCUUGUCCAAACCACAAGGUCCGUCUCAUCUGGUUUUUGAGACAGGUUCCCCAUUUUUGUCAGGAAACAUCUUCCAUGACAGGCCCCGAGACUCCUUGUUUCAGUUAAUUUGCACAGUAGUAAGCAAAGACAUUCAGCAACAUCUAUUUUUAAUGCGAUUAAGCAAGCCCCCAUUCUUCUACCCCUGGCUUCAACAAAGCAGGGAUUUGGCCCUGGGGUGUCAGCUGGGUCAGGCGGCUGGGAGCGCCUUGCCCCGCAGCAUGCCGGGAAUUGCGGUCUUUGGGCUCCGGGCUUCCUGUCGGCCACAUUGGCUUCUGCGGUAUGCUGGGAAAUGUCGUUCCACGUUGCCGCUCGGCUUCCGAGCCAGGAGCAACACGGAGACAGGUGAUUGGGGCAGGGUGCCGGAUGGGGCCUAAAGGUAUAUGAGCUGCAGGUGUCCUAUCAGAGAGCUCAUUCUGCCUGAGCUGCUCUUUGGGGCCCAGGUCAUAGGCAUGGACUAAGCUGAAAAGUUGAACGAGGCAUGAGGGCGAGUGGAUGGCAGUGUGGGCCCUGAGUUGGUUGGUGGAUUCUGUUGGUCUGUUUUGCCUGUUGGGCAGGCUUGGCAAGCACUUGUGACAGCAGAAUACAUCUCCUGCCACAUUCCUGAGGCACGCCAGAUGUCAGUGGGUCCAGUUCCUGAAAUGCUGGAGAUGCUUGGAGUGCAAGAGGAGCAGAGUGUGAUAUAUCUCUUUAGGACAUUAGCCACAUGACCUUGGCUCAGCACAGCAAAUGGAAGUGCUAAGCCUGGAUCGGGAAGGUGAAGAGGAGCCUCAUGCCUGAAGCAAUGUCCUGGCUAGCCUUUGUGUUCCUUUUUGAGGAUGGAACAUGCCUCCCAGCAUUCCCAAGCUAAGUUGGGGGGCAAGUGCUACGUCUGGGUUGGGGUUGUGAAUGGACACAUAGGGCGAGGGUCUGUGCUUCUAAGUCAUUGCAGCAGAUAGGGCCUUUCAGGAUUGAUCAUGGUCAGACAGAGAGAGGGUAUGUGUGGGGGGUCCUGUCAGGUACGGCUUGAGCAUGCGCCAGGCAGGGCAGUUCCAGCUUGGUGUCUGUGUUCUGUGUUGUCUGUGCUGUGCUGUUGCUCUUAGUGCUCGGCAGGUCCUGGGGAAGCCAUCCUGAGCGUAUUGAACACUUGACCUCAUUGGAGUAAUGCUCAAUCAGAAGCUGAGCACCUCUAGUCUUGCAGUGGGAGCUUAAAGAGAUCAUUUUUUCUGUGCAUUAAUUUUUUUCUAUCAAAUGUUUCCUGAUAUGAUCAUCAUGUUACAUGUUCCUCAGGUCUUGAUAUCCUCGUUGCCUUCUUCUGCUG